rnacentral:rRNA from 1 species
CAGAGGGGGCAAGCGUUGUUCGGAAUUACUGGGCGUAAAGGGCGCGUAGGCGGCCUGCUAAGUCGAACGUGAAAUCCCUGGGCUCAACCCAGGAACUGCGUCCGAUACUGGUUGGCUUGAAUCCGGGAGAGGGACGUGGAAUUCCAGGUGUAGCGGUGAAAUGCGUAGAUAUCUGGAGGAACACCGGUGGCGAAGGCGACGUCCUGGACCGGCAUUGACGCUGAGGCGCGAAAGCCAGGGGAGCAAACGGGAUUAGAUACCCCGGUAGUCCUGGCCCUAAACGAUGAAUGCUUGGUGUGGCGGGUAUCGAUCCCUGCCGUGCCGAAGCUAACGCAUUAAGCAUUCCGCCUGGGGAGUACGGUCGCAAGGCUG